CCUACGGGAGGCAGCAGUGAGGAAUAUUGGUCAAUGGGCGUAAGCCUGAACCAGCCAAGUCGCGUGAGGGAUGAAGGUUCUAUGGAUCGUAAACCUCUUUUAUAAGGGAAUAAAGUGUGGGACGUGUCCUGCUUUGUAUGUACCUUAUGAAUAAGGAUCGGCUAACUCCGUGCCAGCAGCCGCGGUAAUACGGAGGAUCCGAGCGUUAUCCGGAAUUAUUGGGGUUAAAGGGUGCGUAGGCGGCCUUUUAAGUCGGCGGUGAAAGUCUGUGGCUCAACCAGAGAAUUGCCGUUGAAACUGGGAGGCUAGAGUAUGUUUGAGGCAGGCGGAAUUCGUGGUGUAGCAGUGAAAUGCUUAGAUAUCGCGAAGAACCCCGAUGGCGAAGGCAGCCUGCCAGGCCAUGACUGACGCUGAUGCACGAAAGCGUGGGGAUCAAACGGGAUUAGAUACCCUGGUAGUC
rnacentral:rRNA from 1 species